UUUCCUUUACACGAAUGGAAUAGAGUGCUUGCUAGCGUGCGUGCGUUUGUGUGUGCGUGUUGUAUAUUUAUCCAUAUGCGUGUAAGAUCCAAUGCACAUUGAAUAUGAAAAGAAAAAAGAAAAAAAAGAAAAAAAAGAAGCACUGUAGGUUAGUUCAUCUUUACUUUGCUUUCUUAGGUUAACUCUUCCACAACGAAAGAAUUCGGCAGACAGGAACAUGAGGAUUCUGACAUGUUCUGGAUCGGAUCUGUUGUGAUGAGGAGGAGCUGCCGAGGAAUGCGUAGAGGAUCGAACAAGAGGGCUCAGGGAUGAGAUCGAAGAUGGAAUUGGAAAGCCAAGGUCCUUCGGGAUCGGAGCUUUCACCAUAUGGACGCUCUCUUGGUAACGUCGUUGGGAGCGACAUGAGGCCUGUGCGAGUUAUCAAACGGCGGGCUGGAUUAGCGGCGAGACGAUUUCACUGCGUGGAGCUUGGUUUACUUUAAGAAACGCAGACGAUGCCUUCAUUCUGUGGUGUGUUCAGCGCCUUUGCAGUCUCUGUCUGCUCGUACACCAGAUAUUCGAAUUUCCUGAUGUACGACCGCCUAAUUCAGGGUUCUCUGGGGGAGGUAUUCUGUGAAUGCUGUCGAUGCGCACGUAUCGCCUUACAACGAGCUGUUUGAUUUGGCAUUGCCAAAAUGACAAUUCAUCAGAUCUUCAUUUUUUCUCUGGAAUGUCUUAAUUUCUGACCCUAGAGGUUAUUUGUCUGUGGCACAGCAACAUGCGAUUGGAAGAAUUUGUAAUGAUUCAGAGUGCACGAUUAUUCUGUGGAAGAGCAAACUGUUGAUUACACAUGUUGCUCUUAAUUGAUCUUGCUACAUGGGAUGAGAGGCUUUAUAUCUGACACAAUCGUUCGAUACUCAGGCUUAUUUUGAUAGUGAAGUGCUUGGCAAGGUGAACGGAGCUACUUUUUGCAGCCUAUUGCGCAGGUUUGUGCAACCUGAUUGCUGAAGCCGUUGACGUGACGAUGUCGCUGGAGUGAUCCUUGAUCAUCACCUUUGAAGAAGCUGUUGAUUCCUCGAGUAGUUGGAAAACUGUUGGAUUUGGUGCUUCAGCAUUGUAUUCGAUGAGCACUGUCCGAUCUAUUGUCUCUGGUAGAGGAUCUAAAGAGGUGAUGUAGGUCUACGUAUCCAUAUCACUUCGUCGUCGCCGCUUGUCUGCAGAUCUGAGAAUGGACCCGUUUCUUUUUGCAUGUUUCUGUGCGAGUUGGAAUUUGUCCUGUAUUCAAUGUUUUAAAGAUCCGAAGACGCUUAUUACUCUUGUAGUUUGAGUUUUAUGCUUUAUGAUGACAAGCAUGUUUUUUGUUGCAAACAUGUACUGAAAUACUGCGACAACAUAUAUAUAUUUUAAUUUGAAAAGUUGGAAUUGUUCUACAAUACACAUGAGUUGUGUCAAAAAGUAGAUUUUAUUACUUUGUAGAUUUAAAACAAUCCGCUACAAUAAGAUAGAUGAAAAUGAUAAUUUUACAUCAUCAAUAAAAUAAAAAUAUGAUAUCUUGAUUGAUUGAUUGAUUUAUUUAUUUUAAAUUUUAAACACAUACCCCUUAUAUGCUUCUUCUUGCAUAUUUGCAUUCCAAAUUUUGUAGUGUGGCUUAGAUAGUUUUAUUUUUUAUUAGUUCAUUGUACUUUCUCUCAACUUUUUUUUUCACAUUAUUUAUAGAACAGUGAUAGACCUUGCUAACCACAUAUAACAACGCCAAUAGAAGUCAAAUUGACAAAAAAUACAAACGUAGUCCAUUUUGUUGAUUCAUGUAUACUCUACAUUAUUUUACUACAUUGCCAAUAAAACAUUUUGAUUUUCUGUAUGCAAACCUCAAUAACCAAAGAAAUAUUUGUCACAAAGUCAUUAAA